rnacentral:rRNA from 1 species
UACAGAGGGGGCUAGCGUUGUUCGGAAUUACUGGGCGUAAAGGGCGCGUAGGUGGCCUGUUAAGUCGAACGUGAAAUCCCCGGGCUCAACCCGGGAACUGCGUCCGAGACUGGCAGGCUCGAAUCCUGGAGAGGGAUGUGGAAUUCCAGGUGUAGCGGUGAAAUGCGUAGAUAUCUGGAGGAACACCGGUGGCGAAGGCGGCAUCCUGGACCGGCAUUGACGCUGAGGCGCGAAAGCCAGGGGAGCAAACGGG